rnacentral:rRNA from 1 species
CGAGUGGCGGACGGGUGAGUAAUGUCUGGGAAACUGCCUGAUGGAGGGGGAUAACUACUGGAAACGGUAGCUAAUACCGCAUAACGUCGAAAGACCAAAGAGGGGGACCUUCGGGCCUCUUGCCAUCGGAUGUGCCCAGAUGGGAUUAGCUUGUUGGUGGGGUAAUGGCUCACCAAGGCGACGAUCCCUAGCUGGUCUGAGAGGAUGACCAGCCACACUGGAACUGAGACACGGUCCAAACUCCUACGGGAGGCAGCAUG